UCCGGUGUGGUCUAGUGGCUAGGAUACCUGGCUCUCACCCAGGAGGCCCAGGUUCGAUUCCCGGUACCGGAA
rnacentral:tRNA from 1 species